GACGAGGGCAAAGAAAUAUAAAAGGGAGCGAACCCUGUCUCUUGCACCGGCAACAAGGCCUACACGGAUCCAGAGAGAAUGGUCGGGCGGCGCAUCUCGCAGGAGUGACCAAGAAGCGACUGACCCCAGACACGGCUUGAUGUCGGUGACAGAUCUGCGGAAAUCAGAAACGAAGGUGACAGAUUGCAGGGAUGACGUCAGAGUGCGUCCUCAUCCUCGGAGAGAGCGCGGCACCAGUGGCAACUUUCCCCACAGUUCGUUCGAGGACGAGGUCCCCUGGCCGGAGCAUUCCAGGCAGCUGCCUUUCCGUCAGCAGCAGGUGAGCUUCAGUGAAGAAGAAUUGACAUUCGGAGGGGAUGCCCCCCAACUGUCACCAUCUCCCUCUCCGUCUUUCAAGGAACUCCACAGGGGACCCCAGAUGAGGAGGACAGGCGUGAGG